UGCCAAACUUGGGAACCGUCGUAUUGGCACAGCGAGGAUGAUCAACAGAUACCCGAUAGGCAGCGAUGAGAGCUGUUCAUGGCACCGACACAGAGGACAGAUUGCAGUACAAGAUAGGAGCAUACUUCCUGCAAG